rnacentral:rRNA from 1 species
CCGGCGCACGGGUGAGUAACGCGUAUGCAACUUACCUAUCAGAGGGGGAUAACCCGGCGAAAGUCGGACUAAUACCGCAUGAAGCAGGGAUCCCGCAUGGGAAUAUUUGCUAAAGAUUCAUCGCUGAUAGAUAGGCAUGCGUUCCAUUAGGCAGUUGGCGGGGUAACGGCCCACCAAACCGACGAUGGAUAGGGGUUCUGAGAGGAAGGUCCCCCACAUUGGAACUGAGACACGGUCCAA